AUACUUACCUGGCAGGGGAGAUACCAUGAUCACGAAGGUGGUUUUCCCAGGGCGAGGCUUAUCCAUUGCACUCCGGAUGUGCUGACCCCUGAGAUUUCCCCAAAUGUGGGAAACUCGACUGCAUAAUUUGUGGUAGUGGGGGACUGCGUUCGUGCUCUCCCCUA
rnacentral:snRNA from 1 species